AUCGAGCUGACGAGUCCCAUACAGGACGAAAAGCGCAUCCUCGAU
rnacentral:hammerhead_ribozyme from 1 species